GAUUCCCCUAGUAACUGCGAGUGAAGCGGGAAAAGCUCAAAUUUAAAAUCUGGCGGUCUUUGGCCGUCCGAGUUGUAAUCUAGAGAAGUGUUACCCGCGCCGGACCGNGUAUAAGUCUCCUGGAAUGGAGCGUCAUAGAGGGUGAGAAUCCCGUCUUUGACACGGACUCCCGGGGCAUUUGUGGUGCGCUCUCAAAGAGUCGAGUUGUUUGGGAAUGCAGCUCAAAAUGGGUGGUAAAUUCCAUCUAAAGCUAAAUAUUGGCGAGAGACCGAUAGCGAACAAGUACCGUGAGGGAAAGAUGAAAAGAACUUUGGAAAGAGAGUUAAACAGUACGUGAAAUUGCUGAAAGGGAAACGCUUGGAGUCAGUCGCGUUGGCCGGAAAUCAACCUUGCUUCUGCUGGGUGUACUUUCUGGUUGGACGGGCCAGCAUCAGUUUUGACCGGUGGAGAAAGUUCAAGGGAAUGUGGCAUCUCUGGAUGUGUUAUAGCCCUCGAUCGUAUACAUCGGUUGGGACUGAGGAAUUCAGCACGCCGAAAGGCCGGGUGAAUANACCACGUUCGUGCUUAGGAUGCUGGCAUAAUGGCUUUAAUCGACCCGUCUUGAAACACGGACCAAGGAGUCUAACAUGCCUGCGAGUGUUUGGGUGGAAAACCCGAGCGCGUAAUGAAAGUGAAAGUUGGGAUCCUUGUCAUGGGGAGCACCGACGCCCGGACCAGAAGUUUACGGAUGGAUCCGCGGUAAAGCAUGUAUGUUGGGACCCGAAAGAUGGUGAACUAUGCCUGAAUAGGGUGAAGCCAGAGGAAACUCUGGUGGAGGCUCGUAGC
rnacentral:rRNA from 1 species